GAAAGCGUGGGGAGCAAACAGGAUUAGAUACCCUGGUAGUCCACGCCGUAAACGAUGUCUACUUGGAGGUUGUGCCCUUGAGGCGUGGCUUCCGGAGCUAACGCGUUAAGUAGACCGCCUGGGGAGUACGGCCGCAAGGUUAAAACUCAAAUGAAUUGACGGGGGCCCGCACAAGCGGUGGAGCAUGUGGUUUAAUUCGAUGCAACGCGAAGAACCUUACCUGGUCUUGACAUCCACAGAACUUUCCAGAGAUGGAUUGGUGCCUUCGGGAACUGUGAGACAGGUGCUGCAUGGCUGUCGUCAGCUCGUGUUGUGAAAUGUUGGGUUAAGUCCCGCAACGAGCGCAACCCUUAUCCUUUGUUGCCAGCGAUUAGG
rnacentral:rRNA from 1 species